rnacentral:rRNA from 1 species
UACGAGAGGCCCAAACGUUAUUCGGAUUUACUGGGCUUAAAGAGUUCGUAGGCGGUCCGUCAAGUGGGGUGUGAAAUCCCUCGGCUUAACCGAGGAAUUGCGCUCCAAACUGUCGGGCUCGAGGGAGAUAGAGGUGAGCGGAACUGAUGGUGGAGCGGUGAAAUGCGUUGAUAUCAUCAGGAACACCAGAGGCGAAGGCGGCUCACUGGGUCUCUUCUGACGCUGAGGAACGAAAGCUAGGGGAGCAAACGGG